rnacentral:misc_RNA from 1 species
UCCAUGAUGGCAGGCAGGGACAG